ensembl:lncRNA
AACAAUUUGAACUUCUACUUUUAAAAAUCCACCUCUCCAAAAACAAGUCUCUCACCGUUGCCGCCUGCUAUAGACCCCCAUCGGCCCCUAGCUGUGCUCUGGACACCAUAUGUGAACUGAUUGCCCCCCAUCUAUCUUCAGAGCUCGUGCUACUAGGCGACCUAAACUGGGACAUGCUUAACACCCCAGCCAUUCUACAAUCCAAGCUUGAUGCCCUCAAUCUCACACAAAUUAUUAAUGAACCCACCAGGUACAACCCCAAAGCCGCAAACACUGGCACCCUCAUAGAUAUCAUCCUAACCAAUGUGCCCUCUAAUUACACCUCUGCUGUUUUCAACCAAGAUCUCAGCGAUCACUGCCUCAUUGCCUGCACCCGUAAUGGGUCAGCGGUCAAACGACCUCCACUCAUCACUGUCAAACGCUCCCUGAAACAUUUCAACGAGCAAGCCUUUCUAAUCGACCUGGCCCUGGUAUCCUGGAAGGAUAUUGACCUCAUCCCGUCAGUAGAGGAUGCCUGGUUAUUUUUUAAAAAUGCCUUCCUCUCCAUCUUAAAUAAGCAUGCCCCUUUCAAGAAAUUUAGAACCAGGAACAGAUAUAGCCCUUGGUUCUCCCCAGACCUGACUGCCCUUAACCAACACAAAAACAUCCUGUGGCGUUCUGCAUUAGCAUCGAACUGCCCCCGCGAUAUGCAACUUUUUAGGGAAGUUAGAAACCAAUACACACAGGCAGUUAGAAACGCCAAGGCUAGCUUUUUCAAACAGAAAUUUGCUUCGUGCAACUCCAACUCUAAAAAGUUCUGGGACAUUGUAAAAUCCAUGGAGAAUAAGAACACCUCCUCCCAACUGCCCACUGCACUGAGGAUAGGAAACUCUGUCACCACCGAUAAGCCCACUAUAAUUGAGAAUUUCAAUAAGCAUUUUUCUACGGCUGGCCAUGCUUUCCACCUAACUACCCCUACUGCAUUCAACAGCACUGCACCCCCCACAGCUACUCGCCCAAGCCUCCCCCAUUUCUCCUUCUCCCAAAUCCAUUCAGCUGAUGUUCUGAAAGAGCUGCAAAAUCUGGACCCCUACAAAUCAGCUGGGCUUGACAAUCUGGACCCUUUCUUUCUAAAAUUAUCUGCCGAAAUUAUUGCAACCUAUAUUACUAGCCUGUUCAACCUCUCUUUCGUGUCAUCUGAGAUUCCCAUAGAUUGGAAAGCAGCUGCUGUCAUCCCCCUCUUCAAAGGAGGUGACACUCUUGACCCAAAUUGCUACAGACCUAUAUCCAUCCUACCCUGCCUUUCUAAGGUCUUCGAAAGCCAAGUCAACAAACAGAUUACCGACUAUUUCGAAUCCCACCGCACCCUCUCCGCUAUGCAAUCUGGUUUCAGAGCUGGUCAUGGGUGCACCUCAGCCACGCUCAAGGUCCUAAACGACAUCGUAACCGCCAUCGAUAAGAAACAAUACUGUGCUGCCGUAUUCAUUGACCUGGCCAAAGCUUUUGACUCUGUUAAUCACCACAUCCUCAUCGGCAGACUUAGUAGCCUUGGUUUCUCAAACGAUUGCGUCGCCUGGUUCACCAACUACUUCUCUGACAGAGUUCAGUGUGUCAAAUCGGAGGGCCUACUGUCUGGACCUCUGGCAGUCUCUAUGGGGGUACCACAGGGUUCAAUUUCUUGGGCCAACUCUUUUCUCUGUAUACAUAAAUGAUGUCGCUCUUGCUGCUGGUGAAUCUCUGAUCCACCUCUACGCAGACGACACCAUUCUGUAUACUUCUGGCCCUUCUUUGGACACUGUGUUAACAACCCUCCAGACGAGCUUCAAUGCCAUUCAACUCUCCUUCCGUGGUCUCCAACUGCUCCUAAACACAAGUAAAACUAAAUGCAUGCUCUUCAACCGAUCGCUGCCUGCACCUGCCCGCCCAUCCAGCAUAACUUCUCUGGACGGUUCUAACUUAGAAUUUGUGGACAAC